GUCUGUGAAGUGUGCGUAUUUCCGUUAUAUCUCAAGAAAAUGCACUCUCUAGCCUGCACCCACACAUUUAA